GCAUAUCAAUAAGCGGAGGAAAAGAAACUAACAAGGAUUCCCCUAGUAACUGCGAGUGAAGAGGGAGGAGCUCAAGUUUAAAAUCUGGCGGUUCUAACGGAUCGUCCGAGUUGUAAAUUAGAGAAGCGACAUCCGCGCUGGACUGUGCAUAAGUCUCUUGGAAAAGAGCAUCAUAGAGGGUGACAAUCCCGUCUUUGGCAUGGAUCCCAGGGCUUUUGUGAUGCGCUCUCAAAGAGUCGAGUUGUUUGGGAAUGCAGCUCUAAAUGGGUGGUAAAUUCCAUCUAAAGCUAAAUAUGGACGAGAAACCGAUAGCGCACAAGUACCGUGAGGGAAAGAUGAAAAGAACUUUGAAAAGAGAGUUAAACAGUACGUGAAAUUGUUGAAAGGGAAACGCUUGAAGUCAGUCAUGUCCAUUCAGAAGUCAACCUGGUCUUUUUGGCUUGGCGCACUUUCUGAUGGACAGGUCAGCGUCAAUUUUGACCGUUGGACAAAGGAAGGAGGAAAGUGGCAUCUCUGGAUGUGUUAUAGCCUCCUUACCACAUACGGCGGUUGGGAUUGAGGAAAUCAGCGCGACCUUCUUGGUUUGGGGCUUCGGCUCACAUCACGCGCUUAGGAUGCUGGCAGAAU
rnacentral:rRNA from 1 species